rnacentral:rRNA from 1 species
UACGGGGGGGGCAAGCGUUGUUCGGAAUUACUGGGCGUAAAGCGCACGUAGGCGGAUUUGUAAGUCAGGGGUGAAAUCCCGGGGCUCAACCUCGGAACUGCCUUUGAUACUGCUAGUCUCGAGUCCGGAAGAGGUGAGUGGAAUUCCGAGUGUAGAGGUGAAAUUCGUAGAUAUUGGGAAGAACACCGGUGGCGAAGGCGGCGAGCUGGUCCGUAUCUGACGCUGAGGCGCGACAGCGUGGGGAGCAAACAGG